UAGUUCCACCUGGAACUGUUUCCAGAAUGCCGUGCCUGAGAAGCUUCAUGGAUCCUAAGCCUGCCCCACAGGAAGACCAGCUGCUUUCAAAUGAGUCCAGAAUAGUAGUUGCCCACUCUUUUCACAGUCACCAUCAGAGAAGCAGCCCCUCCUGUGCGUUCCAGGGUCUCUGUCUAAACCCUAUAAGACAGAGAAUGAUUUUUAAGGUCAAGGCUCAUUUCCAUUUCUCUUAUUGAGAAUGGUUUCCAGAUUCUGGCUGUUCCAAGUGGCAACUUGUUUCAGCCUACCAUACAUGAUUAAUGAAGUCAUCACAUCACACAAUGUGUGAAGAGGUGAAUGAGAUAUCACUGGGCUGCUGGUGCUGGCAUACUCUAUGUACACCGAACUGGGGAUAAAAGCUGCAGCAAUAAUUAGCCAACCUGCCUUUCUGGGAACCAAAACUGGCUCUCCUCCACACCACUGAGGAGCUCCAUCCUGUUCUGCCUUCAAUCACCUCACUAGGAAAGAGAAGAGCACCCACAGCUUACGGUCAGGAAGCAUAACUGAACAGUUUUCAUGCAUUCAGAGAAACAAAUUGAAAACAAAUAUUCUGAACAGGCAUUUCAACACAUCAGCAACUUGGAAGCAACAACUGGAAAUCUAUGGUGAUGAGAAGAUGAAUGUAAGCACCCAUACGAGGAAGUAUUGGUUUACCCAAAAGGGCUUGCAGACUUAGGACUGAAGAGAACACUGCUCAUCUGAGAAGAAACCACAUGCAUGAGUAAUAAGACGAGUAUCUGCGUUGGAAGAGAAGGGAAAACUCAACUUUCCUAGAGCUGAAGCCGAUAUUGGCAGCAUAGAGGCUUCCAUUCAGUUCCUGGACACAUAAGCAGCAUGACAAGGUUCAGCCUGGUGUUGAGAAUAGCACAGCCGAAAGUCUACAUACAGCAGCUAGUGGGUGGUGCUGCAGAUCCAGCUUAGUAAAUCCAUUACA